CGGCGAGUGAAGCGGCAACAGCUCAAAUUUGAAAGCUGGCGUCUUCGACGUCCGCGUUGUAAUUUGUAGAGGAUGCUUCGGCGAAGACUCCUGCCUAAGUCCCCUGGAACGGGGCGUCACAGAGGGUGAGAAUCCCGUACGUGGCGGGCGGUCCGAGCCAUGUGAAGCUCCUUCGACGAGUCGAGUUGUUUGGGAAUGCAGCUCUAAAUGGGAGGUAAAUUUCUUCUAAAGCUAAAUAUUGGCCAGAGACCGAUAGCGCACAAGUAGAGUGAUCGAAAGAUGAAAAGCACUUUGGAAAGAGAGUUAAAAAGUACGUGAAAUUGUUGAAAGGGAAGCGCUUGCAACCAGACUCGCCCGCAGUUGCUCAGCCGGCCUCUUGGCCGGUGUACUCUUCUGCGGUCGGGCCAGCAUCGGUUCGGGCGGCUGGAUAAAGGUGCCGGGAAUGUAGCACCCUUCGGGGUGUGUUAUAGCCCGGCGCGGAAUGCAGCCAGCCUGGACUGAGGAUCUCGCUUCGGCUAGGAUGCUGGCGUAAUGGUUGUAAGCGGCCCGUCUUGAAACACGGACCAAGGAGUCUAACAUCUAUGCGAGUGUUUGGGUGUCAAACCCAUGCGCGUAAUGAAAGUGAACGGAGGUGGGAACCCCUCACGGGGCGCACCAUCGACCGAUCCUGAUGUCUUCGGAUGGAUUUGAGUAAGAGCAUAGCUGUUGGGACCCGAAAGAUGGUGAACUAUGCCUGAAUAGGGUGAAGCCAGAGGAAACUCUG
rnacentral:rRNA from 1 species